rnacentral:tRNA from 1 species
CGUGGGCCGGGCCGUCGGGGUCGGGGCGGGUCGGGUUGUCGAUCAGGCGGCCCUGCGGUUCGGAGUCGCGGGCCGCGCC